AGUCGAGCGGAUGACAGGAGCUUGCUCCUGAAUUCAGCGGCGGACGGGUGAGUAMUGCCUAGGAAUCUGCCUGGUAGUGGGGGACAACGUUUCGAAAGGAACGCUAAUACCGCAUACGUCCUACGGGAGAAAGCAGGGGACCUUCGGGCCUUGCGCUAUCAGAUGAGCCUAGGUCGGAUUAGCUAGUUGGUGAGGUAAUGGCUCACCAAGGCGACGAUCCGUAACUGGUCUGAGAGGAUGAUCAGUCACACUGGAACUGAGACACGGUCCAGACUCCUACGGGAGGCAGCAGUGGGGAAUAUUGGACAAUGGGCGAAAGCCUGAUCCAGCCAUGCCGCGUGUGUGAAGAAGGUCUUCGGAUUGUAAAGCACUUUAAGUUGGGAGGAAGRGCAUUAACCUAAUACGUUAGUGUUUUGACGUUACCGACAGAAUAAGCACCGGCUAACUCUGUGCCAGCAGCCGCGGUAAUACAGAGGGUGCAAGCGUUAAUCGGAAUUACUGGGCGUAAAGCGCGCGUAGGUGGUUUGUUAAGUUGGAUGUGAAAUCCCCGGGCUCAACCUGGGAACUGCYGUUCAAAACUGACAAGCUAGAGUAUGGUAGAGGGUGGUG
rnacentral:rRNA from 1 species